rnacentral:rRNA from 1 species
UCUUACGCAAUGGACGAAAGUCUGACGGAGCAACGCCGCGUCAGUGAUGAAGGCGUUCGGGUCGGAAAACGCUGUUGUUAGGGAAGAACAAGUGCUAGUUGAAUAAGCUGGCACCUUUACGGUACCUAACCAGAAAGCCACGGCUAACUACGUGCCAGCAGCCGCGGUAAUACGUAGGUGGCAAGCGUUAUCCGGAAUUAUUGGGCGUAAAUCGCGCGCAGGUGGUUUCUUAAGUCUGAUGUGAAAGCCCACGGCUCAACCGUGGAGGGUCAUUGGAAACGGGGAGACUUGAGUGCAGAAGAGGAAAGUGGAAUUCCAUGUGUAGCGGUGAAAUGCGUAGAGAUAUGGAGGAACACCAGUGGCGAAGGCGACUUUCUGGUCUGUAACUGACACUGAGGCGCGAAAGCGUGGGGAGCAAACAGG